AAGUCGUAACAAGGUCUCCGUAGGUGAACCUGCGGAGGGAUCAUUAACAAAUCAAACACACACCCUGUGUAAGCGUCUGUUCCUGGCUGGGUCAAGUGGGGAGUGCGUAUGAAAGUGGGAUCAUGGGGGGAAGCGGGCAACCGCCGAUACCACCACCGAAUCGCGCCCACCAGGAUCAACAACCAAACCAUAUCAUGAUUGUCAGCUGUAUUACAAAGUGUAAUUACAAACAACUUUUAACAAUGGAUCUCUUGGCUCUU
rnacentral:misc_RNA from 1 species